GGAUGCAUUGCCUGAUGGCCAAAUCAGGAGCAGGAUCCCUUCUGUGACACCGAAAUCCAAAUUCAGCGUUGACAGGGGUUGUUCUGAAUGUAACAGGAUCCCACGGCAGAUGUAAACCAGACUCCAGGCAUUUGCCGCGUGUUUCAGCGAGGAGGUUUCCUUCCAGGCCCUGAAAAGAUUUUUUUUGAGGAAUCUCUUCACUGAUGUGAGCUCUCUGUCAGAUGAAGUUGUGGCAUUUCAUCUUCAGAGCAAUCCAGUCAUCAAAAAGAUAUGUCCUCUCCCAAAGUGGAGUUUGUCAGCCUCAAAAACUGAUGGAACAUGCAUUCAUCCCACCUUCUCCAUGGAUGGAGAGAUACCUGUGUGUGGAGAGGAGGUUGUCCUCAAGCCAGAGUUGAUAUGACCACCACCUGAUGUCAA